rnacentral:rRNA from 1 species
GAUGAACGCUGGCGGCGUGCCUAAUACAUGCAAGUCGAGCGAACAGACGAGGAGCUUGCUCCUCUGACGUUAGCGGCGGACGGGUGAGUAACACGUGGAUAACCUACCUAUAAGACUGGGAUAACUUCGGGAAACCGGAGCUAAUACCGGAUAAUAUAUUGAACCGCAUGGUUCAAUAGUGAAAGACGGUUUUGCUGUCACUUAUAGAUGGAUCCGCGCCGCAUUAGCUAGUUGGUAAGGUAACGGCUUACCAAGGCAACGAUGCGUAGCCGACCUGAGAGGGGGGUCAGGCCACAGUGGAAUGGGAACAGGUCCCAGACUCCGAGGGGGGGCGGCGGAGGGGAAUUUUCAGCAAGGGGCGAAAGUUUGACGGGGAAACGCCGGGGGGGGGAUGAAGGUCUUCGGAUCGUAAAACUCUGUUAUGGGGAAAAAAAAAAGUUGAAAGUAAAUAUGCAGGUCUGGACGGUACCAAAUCAGAAGGCCAGGGCUAACUACGG